rnacentral:tRNA from 1 species
GCAGACGUGGCAGAGAGGUCGAUUGCGGCAGAUUGCUAAUCUGUAGAUCGGUUUUUCACUGAUCCGAAGGUUCGAAUCCUUCCGUCUGCG